AGCGAACGCUGGCGGCAGGCCUAACACAUGCAAGUCGAACGGAUCCUUCGGGAUUAGUGGCGGACGGGUGAGUAACACGUGGGAACGUGCCCUUUGGUUCGGAACAACUCAGGGAAACUUGAGCUAAUACCGGAUGUGCCCUUCGGGGGAAAGAUUUAUCGCCAUUGGAGCGGCCCGCGUCUGAUUAGCUAGUUGGUGAGGUAAAGGCUCACCAAGGCGACGAUCAGUAGCUGGUCUGAGAGGAUGAUCAGCCACUUUGGGACUGAGACACGGCCCAAACUCCUACGGGAGGCAGCAGUGGGGAAUCUUGCGCAAUGGGCGAAAGCCUGACGCAGCCAUGCCGCGUGAAUGAUGAAGGUCUUAGGAUUGUAAAAUUCUUUCACCGGGGACGAUAAUGACGGUACCCGGAGAAGAAGCCCCGGCUAACUACGUGCCAGCAGCCGCGGUAA
rnacentral:rRNA from 1 species